ACCGCAACUGAAAUUUUGCCCGCCUGGAGAAGAUGAUCACUUGUCCAAAAUUGCAAUUUCAGUCCCUCCAUUUUCUUUUUGUUUUGUGAUUUUGGUCCUGAAUUUUUCUGAGCUUCAUAUUUGCCUCCAACACCAUCAUAAGUCCUUCAAUUAGGUCCCUGCUUUUGUUGCAUUUUAAUCCCUCAAGUCUCCCCCUUGUUCACCGUGGCCUCAAAAUUUGGGAAAAUCAAAUCCAUUUUGCCUUUCUUGAGCUUAAUCCUAU
rnacentral:lncRNA from 1 species